rnacentral:rRNA from 1 species
GAACGGGAAAGCGGGGGCAAACACUGUGAGUACAGUGGCGUACGGGUGAGUAACACGUGACUACCUACCCUCGAGUGGGGGAUAACCCCGGGAAACCGGGGCUAAUACCGCAUAACAUCGCAGGAUCAAAGGAGCAAUUCGCUUGAGGAGGGGGUCGCGGCUGAUUAGCUAGUUGGUGAGGUAACGGCCCACCAAGGCAAUGAUCGGUAGCCGGCCUGAGAGGGCGCACGGCCACACUGGAACUGAAACACGGUCCAUACUCCUACGGGAGGCAGCAGUGGGGAAUUUUGCGCAAUGGGGGAAACCCUGACGCAGCAACGCCGCGUGGAGGAUGAAGUCCCUUGGGACGUAAACUCCUUUCGACCCGGACGAUAAUGACGGUACGGGUGGAAGAAGCACCGGCUAACUUCGUGCCAGCAGCCGCGGUAAU